UACGUAGGGUGCAAGCGUUGUCCGGAUUUAUUGGGCGUAAAGAGCGUGUAGGCGGCUUGGCAAGUCUGCUGUGAAAACUCGAGGCUCAACCUCGAGCUGUCGGCGGAAACUGCUUGGCUAGAGUCCGGAAGAGGAGAGUGGAAUUCCUGGUGUAGCGGUGAAAUGCGCAGAUAUCAGGAAGAACACCCGUGGCGAAAGCGGCUCUCUGGGACGGUACUGACGCUGAGACGCGAAAGCGUGGGGAGCGAACAGG
rnacentral:rRNA from 1 species